rnacentral:rRNA from 1 species
UACAGAGGGUGCAAGCGUUAAUCGGAAUUACUGGGCGUAAAGCGUGCGUAGACGGUUAUGUAAGUCAGAUGUGAAAGCCCCGGGCUACACGAUGGAUCGAUGAAGACUGUAAGGCUAGAGUGUGUCAGAGGGGGGUAGAAUUCCACGUGUAGCAGUGAAAUGCGUAGAUAUGUGGAGGAACACCGAUGGCGAAGGCAGCCCCCUGGGAUAACACUGACGCUCAUGCACGAAAGCGUGGGGAGCAAACAGG